CACACACACACACAUGGUAAGAGUGGGUUAGUGCUAUUUUCAGCAACACUACCUGAGAACUUCAGAUAUGGUGGUUGAAUGAUUACAGUUGGCAGCUGCCUGAUUCCCUUUGUUUAGAAAUGGCUCCUCUGGCAGUGGAGGGGUAUGGUUAGCAAAACUGUCUAUUUUCCAGUGAGUAUACAUCUGUCUGAAUUAGAAGGAGCUUAAUGGGCAAGAGGAUUGAGUUGCAUCUACAGUCAUUAUGGAAAGGUGGGUCACAAGUCAGGGAUUUUAAAAAAGAUAAAAAUAAUCCAGAAAGCAUUGAGUAAACAUGAAAUGAACUGAUUAGGAAGACAAAAGCUGUGAUACAAAUUACAGCUUUAAAGAAAUUAUAAUUUUUUACUCCAGAAAAAUGCUACAAAUUUAAAAUCAUGAAAGAAUAGAAUGAAUAUGAUGAAUCUAAUGUAAAAUUUUUAAAAUGGUUCAGUUUAGUAAAAUGUAAAAUAUUCUGAUCUGCUCAUGAAAAUUUUGUUUACAGUAUUUCCUUUCCUUCCUUAUUUCUUCCAAUACAGGGAAUUGAGGCCCAAUGAAGAAGUUACCUGGAAGUAAAGACUGUGGCUGAAUCACAGAAUAUUCACAUUUUAAAAGUUAUUGUACAAAUAAAACCAUGUUUAUUAUUUAAUUAGAAGAAUUCAAAGUGUAAUUCUUUUGAUAACUUUUUUUUGCGGGGGUAAGAGAAGUACCAGGAAUUGAACCCAGAGAUGCUUUACCACUGAGCCACAUCCCCAUCCCUUUUUAUUUUUUGAGACAGGUUCUUACUGAGUUACUCAGGGCCUCACUAAGUUGCUGAGGCUGGGUUUGAACUUGGGGUCCUCCUGCCUCAGCCUCCUGAACCACUGAGAUUAUAGGCAUUUGCCUCCAUGCCCAGCUUCUUUUUAUACCUUUUAUUGAGGUAAUCUUUAUUUUUUUAUUGAGGUAAUCUUCAAGUGUCCUGCACACUCAGCUUGA
rnacentral:lncRNA from 1 species